rnacentral:tRNA from 1 species
GGACUGUAGCUCAGUGGUAGGGUGCUUGCCUCACAUGCAUGUGGCCCUGGGUUCGAUCUUCAGCACCA